rnacentral:rRNA from 1 species
GAAACAUCCUUUAGGGGAUGGGGCGCGGAUGGACCUGCGGUGCAUUAGUUGGUUGGCGGGAUAAAGGCCCACCAAGACGAUGAUGCAUAGCCGGCCUGAGAGGGCGGACGGCCACAUUGGGACUGAGACACGGCCCAGACUCCUGCGGGAGGCAGCAGUAGGGAAUUUUCGUCAAUGGGCGCAAGCCUGAACGAGCGAUGCCGCGUGAGUGAAGAAGGCCUUCGGGUCGUAAAGCUCUGUUGCGGGGGAAAAAAGGCAGCAUCAGGAAAUGGGUGCUGACUGAUGGUGCCCCGCCAGAAAGUCACGGCUAACUACGUGCCAGCAGCCGCGGUAAUACGUAGGUGGCGAGCGUUAUCCGGAAUGAUUGGGCGUAAAGGGUGCGCAGGCGGUCCUGCAAGUCUGGAGUGAAACGCAUGAGCUCAACUCAUGCAUGGCUUUGGAAACUGGAGGACUGGAGAGCAGGAGAGGGCGGUGGAACUCCAUGUGUAGCGGUAAAAUGCGUAGAUAUAUGGAAGAACACCAGUGGCGAAGGCGGCCGCCUGGCCUGUUGCUGACGCUGAGGCACGAAAGCGUGGGGAGCAAAUAGGAUUAGAUACCCUAGUAGUCCACGCCGUAAACCAUAAGGGCCAAGUGUUGGGG